rnacentral:rRNA from 1 species
AGAGUUUGAUCCUGGCUCAGGAUGAACGCUGGCGGCGUGCUUAACACAUGCAAGUCGAACGGAGAUUAAUUUAACAGAGACUUCGGUUGAAGUUGUUUUAAUCUUAGUGGCGGACGGGUGAGUAACGCGUGGGUAACCUGCCUCACACUGGGGGAUAACAGCCAGAAAUGGCUGCUAAUACCGCAUAAGCGCACAGAGACGCAUGUCUCAGUGUGGAAAACUCCGGUGGUGUGAGAUGGACCCGCGUUGGAUUAGCUAGUUGGCAGGGCAGCGGCCUGCCAAGGCGACGAUCCAUAGCCGGCCUGAGAGGGUGAACGGCCUCAUUGGGACUGAGACACGGCCCAGACUCCUACGGGAGGCAGCAGUGGGGAAUAUUGCACAAUGGGGGAAACCCUGAUGCAGCGACGCCGCGUGAAGGAAGAAGUAUCUCGGUAUGUAAACUUCUAUCAGCAGGGAAGAUAAUGACGGUACCUGACUAAGAAGCCCCGGCUAACUACGUGCCAGCAGCCGCGGUAAUACGUAGGGGGCAAGCGUUAUCCGGAUUUACUGGGUGUAAAGGGCGUGUAGGCGGAGAUGCAAGUCGGGAGUGAAAUCCAUGGGCUCAACCCAUGAACUGCUUUCGAAACUGUAUCCCUUGAGUAUCGGAGAGGCAAGCGGAAUUCCUAGUGUAGCGGUGAAAUGCGUAGAUAUUAGGAGGAACACCAGUGGCGAAGGCGGCUUGCUGGACGACAACUGACGCUGAGGCGCGAAAGCGUGGGGAGCAAACAGGAUUAGAUACCCUGGUAGUCCACGCUGUAAACGAUGAAUACUAGGUGUGGGAGGACUGACCCCUUCCGUGCCGCAGUUAACACAAUAAGUAUUCCACCUGGGGAGUACGACCGCAAGGUUGAAACUCAAAGGGAUUGACGGGGGCCCGCACAAGCAGUGGAUUAUGUGGUUUAAUUCGACGCAACGCGAAGAACCUUACCAGGAUUUGACAUCCAACUAACGAAGCAGAGAUGCAUUAGGUGCCCUUCGGGGAAAGUUGAGACAGGUGGUGCAUGGUUGUCGUCAGCUCGUGUCGUGAGAUGUUGGGUUAAGUCCCGCAACGAGCGCAACCCUUAUCCUUAGUAGCCAGCAGUAAGAUGGGCACUCUAGGGAGACUGCCAGGGAUAACCUGGAGGAAGGUGGGGAUGACGUCAAAUCAUCAUGCCCCUUAUGAUUUGGGCUACACACGUGCUACAAUGGCGUAAACAAAGAGAAGCGAGCCUGCGAGGGGGAGCAAAUCUCAAAAAUAACGUCUCAGUUCGGAUUGCAGGCUGCAACUCGCCUGCAUGAAGCUGGAAUCGCUAGUAAUCGCGGAUCAGAAUGCCGCGGUGAAUACGUUCCCGGGUCUUGUACACACCGCCCGUCA